UCAAAUUCUUCCCUUUCUCUUCCACUACAAGAUCCAUGCCUUACAUGUGUGAUUGAUGCCGUAUUUUCCCCCAAAUCAAAAACGAAACAGUGGAGCAAUCUUGGGAUUCCGGCGGGUUCAUGAGCUGCGGUGAGCUCUUAUAUCAUCUAUUGGUAAGUCUAGCCUCUAAUCGUAUUUCCCAAUCCAUCUCUAUGUUUGAUUUCAUCGAUUUGAAGCCAAAAUCAAAUUCAUAUUUUUCUGGGUUUUUGUCAUCGCCGUGCCACUAUCGCCAUCUUUGUAUUCGGCAAGAAUCAAUUGCUCCGGCGAGCUCUCUAACCUUCUUUUGUUAAUUUACUUCUCACUCUUCGAUUAUGAGAUUACCCAGCCUUUGAUUUCUUGUGUUCUAGCCUUGAUCGUCUUUUUUUUUUCUUCUCUCUGCCGAGCCUCACCAUGGGGUCAGACAGUGCAACAAGCUAUGGAGACGUUUGGGAGUUUUGAUAAAGCAAUUGGAAGCAGAGAUUAAUAAGAUGAAGAGAAGUAACUUGUGCGGUUUCUGCGUUUAAGUCACAGAGAGUUGAUGUAACGAAAUCAUACAAAGCUGGAGCAGCAGCAACAUCAUUAUUUCAGAACUAGAAUAGCAGCAAGGAUUCUGCACUUCAAUCCAGUUAGGGGAAUAGUUCUACAGGUGUGGAUUAGCAGAAUUAGAAGGCUUUCGCUGAAGAUUGUCGAAGAUUUCUUUCUGUUGUUUGUGGUGAGGAUUGAGUGAAUUUUACAUUUCCAUUGGUUGUGUAUUAUUCGAGUUGACUGAGUCAUGAUGUGGACUCAGUUUCGAUACAUUGUUAUGAUAAGAUGAUUUCAAUAUAUUUGAGAUUGUUUUUGAGUUUUCAUGACUUCAAAUUCGAAUUUUUAUCAUUCGAAAUUUGGGGUCGUGACAAUUUUGGAGUGGAUGACUUGGCUGAUUUGUUAACAAAGUUUAUG